CUAGUACUCCCUCCAUCCGGAAAUACUUGUUCUAGAGAUGAUUGUAUCUAGACUUAUUUUAAUUAUAGAUACAUUUAAUAUAUUUAUUUUUAGCAUAAGUAUUUCCGAACGGAGGGAGUA
rfam:Hordeum vulgare subsp. vulgare, WGS project CAJW01000000 data, contig: morex_contig_217322